rnacentral:lncRNA from 7 species
GGUGUUUGGUGGGCCCUAAUCCUCAUAAAGGGAUCUAUCCACCUCAACACUACCAAAUUGUGUAUUCUCUCAAGUCCUUUGUACAUGUCCCAAACACAGAGAUGUAAACAGCAGAUGUAUAAACAGGAGUACCAGUUUCGUGUUAGGAAUUAAACACACAAGACUCCAUCACUUUCCUGUGGGACACUCGUAUACUGCGUAGUCUGAAAUGCAUUAUAGUAACCUGUAUCUUCUGGGAAUUCUCUGUCUCCAUGAACCACGGCAGCAUUGAGUGGAGCAGAAACCGAAUUUCGGCCUUGAGAAAUCAAACUCCCUAGAUAAAGUCAUGAAGAUGCAGGUGUUUUAUGAAUUAUGUCUAAUAUUAAAUAACAGCUAUCAACAAAAUAAUCCGCCCAUGCCUUCUAUUCACCAAAAUAAUAGCAACAUAAAAAUACAUAUCAUAAAGUAGACGACCUCCAACAGUUUCCCUCUACAGCUACGUUAAAUGUACUUAAUCCAGUGUGGAUGGCAACAUAAAGCAACUUUUAUUCAUAUCCCCAUGAUUCUGCUUCACCUCAAUGAAAUGAAUACCGCUUUCAAAGAAAAUUGAAAACCAAAUCAAAACCAAAAAAACCCUACUGUCAUUAUAAUACCUGCAGAGUGAUACCACUAACGGACCUGACUGUUUGUUUCUAAGGAAGAACAGCUGUGCAACAGACUGUCUGAACAGUCACUAUUACAGAAUGCAACAUGGAUCACUGACACAAAGGAAGCACUACACCAGCUGGCUUUCUGUCUUAGAGCAUUUCUAUUCCUAGAUGAUUUACCUGUUCUCAGUCCUGUCACCUUAGCACUUCUACUACCCAAUUAAAAAAUGAUGUUGCUGAAUUCUCUCUGCUGUAAAUUAAAUAUGUUAUUUAU